rnacentral:rRNA from 1 species
AUUUAUUUAAGUUAAACUAGGAUUAGAUACCCUAUUAUUUUAGUUUAACUUAAAUAAAUUUAAAAAUUAAAUGAUAAACCACUAAAUUUAAAAAAUUUGACAGUAUAUUAUUUUAAUUAGAGGAAUAUAUUUUUAAUAGAUAAUAAACUAUAAAAAAUACUUAAAUUAUUCAUGUUUAUAUAUUAUUGUUUUAAAAUAUAAUUUUUAAAUUAUAAUUAAUUCUUUUUUUAAAAAAAUAAUUCAAAUCAAAAUAUAACUUAUAUUUAAGACAAUUAGUAUUACAAUAAAUAAUAAUAAUUUUUUAAAAAAUAUUUUUUUAAAAAUUUUAGAAUUUAAAAAUAAAAAAAAUUAAUUAAUUUUUUUUAAAAUAAAAUUAAUAUAUGUACAUAUUGCCCGUCAUUUUCAUAAUUGAAAUAAGUCGUAACAUAGUAA